UAGAACUUUGAAUAGGAUAUGCGUAUAUACUUGUAUGCUACUAUGUAAGUUUCUAUAUAUACAUUUAUUUUUGAUAAAUUCAUGUAUAUUAUAUAUAUCCUGUGUAUAUUCAUGUUUAUAGCCUAUAUAUGCACAUGGAUAUUUUAUAUGCAUAAGUAAAAUGUAUACCCAAUGUAAAUGGACAUAUAUUUUUGUGUGUAUAUACAUACAUACACAAAUAUGUCAUACAUGAAUAUAUAUAUAUAUAUAUUUUUUUUUUAACUUACCUUCCAUCUUUUGAUUCCAAGGCAGAAGAGCAGGAAGGGCUAGGCAAUGGGUUCAAAUUUGAAACUCAAAUUUGAAACUCAGAAACUUCCUAGCUAUGUGACCUUGGAUGAAUCACUUAACCCCCAUUUCCAGCCUUUUCUGCUCCUCUGCCUUGGAGACAAUACAUAGCAUUGAUUCUAAAAUGGAAAGUAUGGAUUAAAAAAAACUUUUGAGAAAUCUUCAUAGAUGUAGUACAAUACUGUAGAUAGAAUGGAAACCUUGGAUAAAGGAGGACCUGAGUUCUAAUCCUCCCUCUUAAACUUAUUAGCUGUAAGACACUGGGUAAGUUGCUUCAAGUUCUGGGUCUGAAUUCCUCAUCUGUAUAAAAAUACUCUCUGGCUCUGCCUCACUGAACUCUUUAAAGUGCUCAAAUGUGAGAAAUCAUUUUGUAAGCCUUCAAACACAAGAUAAAUGUUAGAUAUUCUUAUCCUUACUUUUUUCCUACACACACACACACACACACACACACACACACACACACACACUGAAUCCUUUGGGGUUAAUUAGUUAUCCAUCUGCUUUCCAACCCUGACUCCAAAAUGACUCAGAGGCUGCAGACCAGCUUUAUUUUAGGUGGAGCACUUCCUCUGCAGUCAACAUAUCCCCUAGUAGCAGGCACCAGUCCUGCGGAUUUCCUCUGCUCUCUGGUUGAGAACAGGAAACAGAAGCCAGAACAAGCCGACCACCACUGCAGGCACAAAGGAACAACCACCCAAAUUUGCAGAUUCUUCACCAGAAAACCACAUCCACCAGAGGGAGCCCACCAGACAUCUCUUGGAAACCCAAUCGCUGCUUUUCCCCAGCUGGCUUAGCAAUGCCACACUGAGCAGAGGCUGCCAUUUGCCCAGAGGCCAUAGGAAAUCAUUUUAAGGUGAUGAAAAUACAACCCCAUUCCAAUUCCGUUAAGUUCAAAAUAUAGCCAGAUACCGUACAAUACAUUUCAAAGAAAAUGCAGGGGAGAAAAGAAAGCAGAUGGAGAAGAAAAGAGGGACAGCCCUAGUGUGGAAAGCACCCUGGAUCUAGGGUCAAGGAGCCUGGGCACGAGAGAAUCCUAGAUCUUCCUCAGACAAAUCAUUUAUUUCAUCUGAGCCUUAAUUUCCUCAAUAUGUAAACGAGGGGGUAGACCUCUGAUUUCCUUCCAACUCCUAUGACUAGAAUGGCCUCUAAUGAUUGUGGCACAGUCAAAAGAGUGCUGAAUUUGGUGCCCAAGGACCUGGAUUCAAAUCCCACUUGCCCCACUUAUCUCAGGCAAGUCACCUAACUUGUGUGGGCUUUAGUUUUUCCCUCUAUUAAACAAGAAGGUUGUGCUCAAUGACCUUUCAUGUUCCUUUAAACUCAAAAUCUCUGAUCCCUUUUUGAUUCUAGAUCUGUGAUACUGGAAACCUCAAAAACAACUUUGCUUUUUAAGAAUUGACCAUGCAUACAUGUUUCUCCACUUAUUUUAUUUUUCUUGCCUUUUUUUGGGGGCAACAGGGCUUAUUUGGAAAUAUGCCUUAUUUGACUUCACAUGUAUAAUUGAUACGAUAUUGCUUGCUUUCUCAAUGACUGGGGGAGGACUGGAGAGAGGGAGAGAAUUUGGACCUCAGUAUUUUCAAAAAUUGUUUAAAGUAGAGUUAUUUUAAAAAUGCAUACAUCUUGAUGCCCGCUUUUAAUUUAAUUUUUAUCUAAUUCUCAUUUAUUUAAUGAUUAAUUUAUUUAAACAUUCAUUUAGUUGAUUUAAUCUAAGCAUCGUAAUCUAUUUUUGCUCUCAGAAUAGCCUUAGAAAAUGGGAGCCAAUAAAAACAACUAACAUUUAUGUAGUGCUUACCA
ensembl:lncRNA